rnacentral:tRNA from 1 species
UGUUUUAAUAGUUUAAACCAGAACUUUGGUCUUGUAAAUCAAAAGUGAAUUAUUACAAUUCUUAAAGCAUC